UGCUUUGUGGCUUAGGUGGUUAAAGCGCCACUCUUGCAAAUUUGUAGUCAUAAGUUCGAAUCCUACCAGAACGC
rnacentral:tRNA from 1 species